rnacentral:rRNA from 1 species
UACAGAGGUGGCAAGCGUUGUUCGGAAUUACUGGGCGUAAAGAGUGUGUAGGCGGUGCUCUAAGUUCGGUGUGAAAUCUCCCGGCUUAACUGGGAGGGUGCGCCGGAAACUGGAGUGCUCGAGCGUGGGAGAGGAAAGCGGAAUUCCUGGUGUAGCGGUGAAAUGCGUAGAUAUCAGGAGGAACACCUGCGGUGUAGACGGCUUUCUGGACCGUAACUGACGCUGAGACACGAAAGCGUGGGUAGCAAACAGG